CGCCUGUUUACCAAAAACAUAGCCACUAGAUGAUAUUACGUGGUUUUACCUGCCCARUGUAAUUAUGAAUGGCCGCGGUACUCUGACCGUGCUAAGGUAGCGUAAUCAGUUGAUCUUUAAAUGAGGUCAGGAAUGAAUGGAUAAACCGGGUUUAGCUGUCUCUUUUCUAUUACAUUGAAUUUACUACCUAAGUGAAAAAGCUUAGUUUCUAAAAAGGGACGAGAAGACCCUUAGAAUUUUCAUAAAAAGGCUAAUUAGUUGGUCUUACAUUUUUAUUGGGGCGAUAUAGAAAUAGUUAAAACUUUCUUUUUAAAACAAGCCGAUAUUUAUAAGUCAGGAUAAAUUACCUGAGGGAUAACAGCAUAAUUCUAUAGUUGAGUUUGUGACCUCGAUGUUGGACUAGGAAACUGGCAGGCUAGCCGUUUGUUAUGUUAGGUUCUGUUCAAACUUUUAUUCCU
rnacentral:rRNA from 1 species